GGUGUAGACAAGUACUUGACUUGUUGGUGCGUGUGUCAAGAUGGGAUUGACCACUCUAGUUUAGGAGCUGUGUACAGUCGUGUUUCAAUUUAGCAAAACCUUGGCCAUAGUAGUCUUUGUGAGGAGUCACAGACUGUUUGAGUUGAGCACGAUUCGGAUGAUCUAAUCAGGGUUGACAGUUUAACCCAGAGUCAUCAUAAACACAGAGGUUA
rnacentral:lncRNA from 1 species